rnacentral:rRNA from 1 species
AUUGAACGCUGGCGGCAGGCCUAACACAUGCAAGUCGAACGAGUGGCGGACGGGGGAGUAAUGUCUGGGAAACUUCCUUGUGGGAGGGGGUAAACAAUGGAAACCGUAGCUAAUACCGCAUAGCCACGGAUUGGCCCCGAUGGGAUUAGCUAGUAGGUGGGGUAAAGGCUCACCUAGGCGACGAUCCCUAGCUGGUCUGAGAGGAUGACCAGCCACACUGGAACUGAGACACGGUCCAGACUCCUACGGGAGGCAGCAGUGGGGAAUAUUGCACAAUGGGCGCAAGCCUGAUGCAGCCAUGCCGCGUGUAUGAAGAAGGCCUUCGGGUUGUAAAGUACUUUCAGCGGGGAGGCGUUACCCGCAGAAGAAGCACCGGCUAACUCCGUGCCAGCAGCCGCGGUAAUUC